UAAUAAACGUAUAGAUGCAUGAUGUGACGAUAAGUGAUAUUA
rnacentral:guide_RNA from 1 species